rnacentral:sRNA from 1 species
GGCGGGAAGACGCCCAGAGGCCAGCUUCGGUCCCCGUUCUGUCUCUCGGUUCCUCUUUCCUCCCAAGUAAGGGAAUACACCGCGAGGAAGGAGCGCCCCGGGCCACCGCGCAACCAAGUGUUGCCUGGUGAGGAAGAGCCAGGAUUUCUGAAUUUACCUUGAAUGCGGACAGGAGGAUGUUGCCUAAGGAAUAGCAGAGAUCUUGUCUCAUCUUCUGAGAGGUGCCUGCUGCUGCUGUAUACACUUGAGUCCUCCCAGAAGUCUCCUGAAAGGCUUACAUCGCAAACCUGCAAUGAGCCAGGCCCUAGGCUGGGCCUCCACUUCAGCCUAGUGAACAAAACUCCAUCACUGCCCUUUAGUCACUCACACAAAGCUUAAAAAUGGGUGAAGAACGGUGGGUCUCCCUCACUCCAGAAGAAUUUGACCAACUCCAGAAAUAUUCAGAAUAUUCCUCCAAGAAGAUAAAAGAUGUCUUGACUGAAUUUAAUAAGGGUGGGAGCCUCAAACAAUAUGACCCACAGGAGCCGAUUAGCUAUGAUGUCUUCAAGCUGUUCAUGAGGGCAUACCUGGAGGUGGACCUUCCCCAGCCACUGAGCACUCACCUCUUCCUGGCCUUCAGCCAGAAGCCCAGACAGGAGACCUCUGACCACCCGACGGAGGGAGCCAGCAACAGCGAGGCCAACAGCCCAGAUACUAAUAUACAGAAUGCAGAUAAUGCCACCAAAGCAGACGAGGCCUGUGCCCCUGAUACUGAAUCAAAUAUGGCUAAGAAGCAAGCACCAACUGAAGACCAAGUGGCUGCAACCCCCCUGGAACCCCCCGUCCCUCGGUCUUCAAGCUCGGAAUCCCCCAUGGUGUACCUGAAGGAUGUUGUGUGCUACCUGUCCCUGCUGGAGACGGGGAGGCCUCAGGAUAAGCUGGAGUUCAUGUUUCGCCUCUAUGAUUCAGAUGAGAACGGUCUCCUGGACCAAGCGGAGAUGGAUUGCAUUGUCAACCAAAUGCUGCAUAUUGCCCAGUACCUGGAGUGGGAUCCCACAGAGCUGAGGCCUAUAUUGAAGGAGAUGCUGCAAGGGAUGGACUACGACCGGGAUGGCUUUGUGUCUCUACAGGAAUGGGUCCACGGAGGGAUGACCACCAUCCCAUUGCUGGUCCUCCUGGGGAUGGAUGACUCUGGCUCCAAGGGGGAUGGGCGGCACGCCUGGACCAUGAAGCACUUCAAGAAACCAACCUACUGCAACUUCUGCCAUAUCAUGCUCAUGGGCGUCCGCAAGCAAGGCCUGUGCUGCACUUACUGUAAAUACACUGUCCACGAACGCUGUGUGUCCAAAAACAUUCCUGGUUGUGUCAAAACGUACUCAAAAGCCAAAAGGAGCGGUGAGUUUCACCGCAAAUGUGAAUUAUCAACGUUGUGUGACGGUGGGGAACUCAGAGACCACAUCUUGCUGCCCACCUCCAUAUGCCCCAUCACCCGGGACAGGCCAGGUGAGAAGUCUGAUGGCUGCGUGUCUGCCAAGGGCGAACUUGUCAUGCAGUAUAAGAUCAUCCCCACCCCGGGUACCCACCCCCUGCUGGUCUUGGUGAACCCCAAGAGUGGAGGGAGACAAGGAGAAAGAAUUCUUCGGAAAUUCCACUAUCUGCUCAACCCCAAACAAGUUUUCAACCUGGACAAUGGGGGGCCUACUCCAGGGUUGAACUUUUUCCAUGAUACUCCAGACUUCCGUGUUUUGGCCUGUGGUGGAGAUGGGACAGUUGGCUGGAUUUUGGAUUGCAUUGAUAAGGCCAACUUUGCAAAGCAUCCACCAGUGGCUGUCCUGCCUCUUGGAACAGGAAAUGACCUUGCCCGUUGUCUCCGCUGGGGAGGAGGUUAUGAAGGGGGCAGCUUGACGAAAAUCCUGAAGGACAUUGAGCAGAGCCCCUUGGUGAUGCUGGACCGCUGGCAUCUGGAAGUCAUCCCCAGAGAGGAAGUGGAAAACGGGGACCAGGUCCCAUACAGCAUCAUGAACAACUAUUUCUCCAUUGGUGUGGACGCUUCCAUUGCACACAGAUUCCAUGUGAUGAGAGAGAAACAUCCUGAAAAAUUCAACAGCAGGAUGAAGAACAAGCUGUGGUACUUUGAAUUUGGCACCUCGGAGACUUUUGCAGCGACCUGCAAGAAACUCCAUGACCACAUUGAGUUGGAGUGGUGCUAAGUGCCUCACGGAAUCUGCAAAGCAGCCCUAAGUGGCAGGUGUCAUAAUCACCUUUCCAGAGAAGGGGGACACAGGCUGAGAGAAGUGUGAUGGGGUUGGGGUGGACCUGAGCAACAUCUUCCUGGAAGGCAUUGCCAUUCUCAACAUUCCCAGCAUGUACGGAGGCACCAAUCUCUGGGGAGAAAACAAGAAGAACCGGGCUGUGAUCCGGGAAAGCAGGAAGGGUGUCACUGACCCCAAAGAACUGAAAUUCUGCGUUCAAGACCUCAGUGACCAACUCCUUGAAGUGGUGGGGCUAGAAGGAGCCAUGGAGAUGGGGCAGAUCUACACCGGCCUGAAGAGUGCAGGCAAGAGGCUGGCCCAGUGCUCCUCUGUCACCAUCAGGACAAACAAGCUGCUGCCAAUGCAAGUGGAUGGAGAACCCUGGAUGCAGCCAUGUUGCACGGUGAGUCUUGCCAAUCUUUGAGAUGGGGAUGAAAAGCCUUAUUUUUGAACCCUUUUGGGCACUGACUUAAUAUGAAAUCACUGAAUCUCGGAGUUGCAGGGACCAUGGAAGAUUAUCUAGUGCAACCCCUCUUCCACUUUAUUUAUCCAUCCACUCAUUUACCUGCCAACUCUUAAUGAACACCUGCUGUAUGCCAGACACUGUGAGGCACCGGUCACAAAAUUGAAAGAGACAUAGAACCAACUUCGAGGAGUUCACAGUUCUAGUCAGUGAAUUCUGAGACUUCAUCUACUGUAUCCUGGACAGCCUCAGCUUGAAUCAUGUCAAUGGCAAGGAAUUUACUACCUCAAAAGGAAGACUGUUCUGCUGAUGAACAAGUCAAAUUGCUUUCUUAUGUGGAAGCCAAAUCUACACACUUACCUUACCUAGAAUUUGGUAGGGUAGCUCCUUUGACUGCUGGAGCUCCUGGGAGAAAAUUCCUUGCAGAGCACAGACAUGCCUCCCAAUCGGUGCACCCAAAGCUCUGAUAACCUACUUGAAAAUUCCACUGAAUGAGUCACCACGCAGGUUAUCUAUUUUGUUUAUGGCACUGUCACCCAGAACGUAGAACAGUGCCUGGUUUGUAAUAGUUGCACAAUAAUAUAUGUCAAAUGAUGAAUAAAAGACUGAACAAAUGAACUAACAAAAAUAGAGUAUCUCCAUUCCCAGACUUACCGUAUCCGUUAGCUCUCCCUUUAGCACUAGUACAGGAGCCAUGCCUCCUUCCUUCUUAGUUUGUCCUCAGUUAGAAAUGCAGCUAGAAUCUCUGUGGUGAAGAGCAAUCGUUGUCCUGGUUUUCAGGGCCUCUGCUGGGAUACUACAUGCGUAAUACCCUCAAUAAGAUUGCAGCUAUGCAAAUUUCAAAAGACAAAAGUGGAGUUUCUAAGCUUCCUCACUCUAGUGGAGUAUUCACAUACUUUGAUCACCUGCUAUCUCGAGCCCUUCAGAACAUCAAGUUGUCUUCUACUAAAGGAGGGUUUCCAUGAACCUGCUAAGAAAAGGUAGCAUCUUCUAUAAAGGUUAUCAAAAACAGAAAUUUCUCUGCAAAAAUCUUACCUCAAUCUUAUGAAGACUAAGAAAAAAAUGAAAACACACUAUAUCAAAUAAUAGCUUUCCACCUUGCUGGAGUUAGGAUGGAUAGAGGGAAUUUCUACUAUUUAUCAUUUGAUGGAACUGAGUUGAGAAGAAUCUGUCCAAGUUCCUCCUAUCUCCAACCCCCCUACAAAAAAAAAGGUGGAAGAAAUCAAACCCUCUCCUACCUGGUUCAGUCCUAGCUGAAAACUGGAUUGCUAUUCCUAUAAAUUCAAGCACUGGAUUUUGAAAUAGCCAAAUACUUCUCCCUAUGCCCACACCCACCUUUCUUCUAUACCACCCUUUAGAGAUUACAACUCACUAUGAAAAAAUUUGUGAACCAAUGAUUUCAUAGUGUGAGGUCCAGAAAUCCAUAUGUAAAGGUAUAUUCGUCUGCUUUGACUGCCAUAAUAGAAUGCCACAGACUGACAGCUUAAACAACAGAAAUUUAUUUUCUCACAGUUCUGGAGGCUGACAACACAAGACCAAGGUGCUGGAAGGGCUGGUUUCUGGGGAGGCCUCUCUUCCCGACUUCCAACGGCUGCCUUCUUUUUGUAUCCUCACAUGGCUUUUCCUCUGUGUUUGCACAAUCCUUUCUCUUCUUAUAAGGACACCAGUUCUAAGGGAUUAGGUCCCCACCCUUGUGACCUCAUUUAACCUUAAUUACCUCCUUAAAGGCCCUAUAUACAAGUAUAGUCACAUUGGGGGUUAGGGAGUCAACAUAUGAAUUUGGGGGGGACGCAAUUUAUUCCAUAACAGAAGGUAACAGAAAAUCAUUCUUAAACUUGCAAGGGUUAAAACCCAUGUACCUCUUGUUGAAACAUCUUCUUGAAGGUAUACACCAACUAAGAAGUGAUUCAAAAUUAAAGCCUUAAGAAUGGACUAUCACUGCCCAAAAGAACUUUUGGUAAAAAUGGAAACCAGUAAAAUUGGAAUGAAGUUUCCAAAAACCUGCUAAAUAUGGUUAUGCAACUAAAUGCAAAUGGCAAAAAUCAUUCUUUGAAAGAGAAGACAUAUCAUGUAAAUAUUAAUAACCUGUAUCCCAAACCUAAGAUUAUAUUAACAAAGGCCAAAAACAUGCAGGAGACACUGCUGAAGGAAUAGUAAAGAUACGUGAAGUUUCUCAUUGUCUCUCUUCACUGAUGAUAAAACAUAUAAAUCAGAAGAUAAUUUUAAUAGACAAUCACUAGUGAAACUAAAAAUCGGGCGCACACCUUUCAAAUCUGGAAGAAUUUAAAAUAUAUAAACCCUAUUAAUGUAGCACAGGAUAGAAAGCAAAAAAUAAGCCAACAUUUAAAAAUUUUUUGAAGCAAGUUGAAUGAUGUUAAGACUGUAUAUAUAUAAUAUAUAUAUAAAAGAAAAAUAGAUGAGUUAAAAUUCCCUAUUAAAAGAUCAAUACUCUCAUAUUGAGUUAAAAAUGAAAAUCCAAAUAUAUGCUUCUUACAAAAGAUACAUCUAAAAUGAAAGGUUAUACAUAUGUAUAUAUAAUAUAUAUCUUCUUAUUUUAUCCUUUAUCAGGUACAAAGAAAUUAAAAGGAAAAAAUAGUAAUGUUAAUUAUGCUAAUUUUAGGCAAACUAACCUUCCCAUGUGCCUAAAGCAUAAAGCAGAAUAAGUAAACACAUUUUUUAUUUGAUAAAAAGUACAUUCAAUUACGAGAUAUAGUGGUCAUAAAAUGUUAGAUAUUUAAUACCAGAAUCAAAAUAUAUUAAAAAACUAUCAAUACAUAUUCUGAGAAAACAUUGAUAUAGAAGUUGACAGACAGAUAUUGAGAAGCUUUAAAAUAUUUGUUUCCAUCUUUGAGGUUAAGUAGCAAAAAAAUAAAUGCUUGGAUGAAAUAACUCUAUAACCCAUAAAGAAAUUAAAUAUCAUAUUUGUUCAAGCAUUCAUAUUUACUAAAAUAGAUCACAAACUAGUUUACAAGGCAAAAAGCUCCAUAAAAUCCAGUUGCAGAAAUUAUAAAGGUCAUUUUCUUUGACCACAAAGUAAUAAAACUAGAAAUUACUAAUAGAAGAUUAAGUGAAUAAACAAAAUUUAGUCACUUGGAGACUUAAAAAUUCUCCUAAACAACAAGAGAUUUAUGAGGAGAUCAAAGCCACCAUGGUAGAUUACUCAAAAAAUUACAAAAAUAAGAAGACUCCAGUUUAAAAAUUAUAGAAUAUAGCCUAAAUUAUAUUUGGAAGUAAAUUAAAAGCCUCAUAAUCUUCCAUCAUAUAAAAAAGAAGUAAAAUGUAAUGAAUAAUACUAAAAUUAGAAGAGCAAUAAUAAAACAAUCUUAGGAGAAGCAGAAGGAAAAAAAUAAUAAAGAG